rnacentral:rRNA from 1 species
CUUUCGCUCCCCUGGCUUUCGUCCAUGAGCGUCAGUAAUGGCCCAGCAGAGCGCCUUCGCCACUGGUGUUCUUCCCGAUAUCUACGCAUUUCACCGCUACACCGGGAAUUCCCUCUGCCCCUACCAUACUCAAGCCGAUCAGUUUCCACUGCCAUGAUGGAGUUAAGCUCCACGCUUUAACAGCAGACUUGAAAGGCCGCCUGCGGACGCUUUACGCCCAAUAAUUCCGGAUAACGCUUGCCACUCCCGUAUUACCGCGGCUGCUGGCACGGAAUUAGCCGUGGCUUAUUCCUCAAGUACCGUCAUAUCUUCUUCCUUGAGAAAAGAGGUUUACAGCCCAGAGGCCUUCGUCCCUCACGCGGCGUUGCUCCGUCAGGCUUUCG